rnacentral:rRNA from 1 species
AGAGGGUGCGAGCGUUGUUCGGAAUUAUUGGGCGUAAAGGGCGCGUAGGCGGUGCGGUAAGUCACCUGUGAAAUCUCCUGGCUCAACUGGGAGCUUGCAGGCGAAACUGCCGUGCUGGAGUGUGGGAGAGGUGCGUGGAAUUCCUGGUGUAGCGGUGAAAUGCGUAGAUAUCAGGAGGAACACCUGUGGCGAAAGCGGCGCACUGGACCACAACUGACGCUGAGGCGCGAAAGCUAGGGGAGCAAACAGG